CCAACGUGGAUAUCCGGAGAAGUCGCUCUCUCUCGGCUCUGUCCGUGUGGCGCACGGGAGCGCAGGCCCUCGGGCCCGUGACGUACAGUCCCCUUCCACGACGUUGGAGAUCAAGCCGGGCCGCCGAGCCUGCAGCCUGCAUAUUCCUACUGCUUCUCUGAGCCCCCGGGCCGUUACAGAGGAGACAAACCAUGCAGGAAACAAUU
ensembl:snoRNA SNORA73 Small nucleolar RNA SNORA73 family